GAACAUUGUUAUCUAGAAGGAUACGUAUAACUCCACUACAUCUUUAAUCUAAUGGCCUCAAUCCAAUAUAACUCCACUACAUCUUUAAUCUAAUGGCCUCAAUCCAACCCCUUUCUUUGAGUUUGCCAAAUGAACUUCAAGUACGACCAAGGCCCCAAAAUUCUGAUAUCUAGGUACUUGCACUACUAACCAGCUCUCUUAUCACCGUGGUCAAUAGCAGGAACCUACAGCAUUCUGCUUGAAUUAAUUUACUGUGAUGAGGCUUAAUUUACCCAGAACAAAUCUUUACCAUGUCCCAGGUUCAUGGAAGACUAAAAGAGAGAGCACGUGACAAACAGAUGAACUAACUAAGACAUCUCCGGCUUUGUUAGUAAUAAGGAAUAUAUUUUUUCCACUAGAGCUUCAUUAUCUUUGACAAA
rnacentral:lncRNA from 1 species